rnacentral:misc_RNA from 1 species
GAUGAAGAACGUAGCGAAAUGCGAUAAGUAAUGCGAAUUGCAGAAUUCCGUGAGUCAUCGAAUCUUUGAACGCACAUUGCGCCCUCUGGUAUUCCGGAGGGCAUGCCUGACUGAGCGUCAUUGUCAACCCUCAAGCUCAGCUUGCUGUUGGGUCCCCGUCGUUGCUUUAACGGCGGACCCGAAAGGUAAUGGCAGAGUCCGUGAGACCCUAGACGCAGCGAGCUUCUAGCACGCGUCUGGACGUUUUUCGGGCUCGGUCUUAACUAGAUGAUAACUUCCGAUUGACCUCAGAUCAGGUAGGGAUACCCGCUGAACUUAAGCAUAUCAAUAAGCGGAGGA